GUGCCGGGUCGGUGUAUUUGUAGAGGGGUUAGAUGUGGUCAUGUGACCAGGGCCCAGAAGAAGACAGAUCUGGGCAAUAGAAAGAUAGAUAAAGGGCCCAUGAGAAAGUAGUUUUCUAACCUUCAAAACAAAAACAGGAUGCAUCCUCUGUGUGAGGAGGAGAGGGGUCUCACGUCACUAGGGGUGUUAGAGACGACACGGUAGAGGUGAUUCCAGCAUCAGAUGAUGUCUUUUCCAGAUACAAAGUAGAAUUAAACAUGGCGCUGAAGAGAAUCUCAUCACCAUGCAAUGAGAGUUGAGGCAGGAGGCGGCCUUCUGGGUGAAGACUAACGAGAAGUUUCCAUUUAGGAAGCUUUUCUGCAGCGAGCUGACUUUGAGUCUAAUACCUUUUUUUUUCUCUUACUCUUUUCUGAGAUAAUUGUAUUUUAAAUAGUUCUUAAAAAGGAUUUUACUGGGUGGAAAUAUAAGGCUUCGUUCUUUCUGAAGGAAGCGGUUUCAGUGAAAAUUUAUUUAACCCCACGGCGCCAAAGCAGGGUGGUGGCAUCUUCCAGAGUUUCACGGAAGUGUCUGUUGAUUGGGAUUGCCUACAGAGCUUGAUUCCAGACCCCGCUGAUGACGUCAUCCUGCAACAUUUUAGGAUUGUCAUAAAAUUAGCUUCUGUCGAAGCACUUAUUUUCUGGAUGAAGAUUUCACAGUCUUCUUGGCAGCUUGGUUUAAAGAUUAGUCACACUUAAGUUAUAUCUGAGCCACCAGAGGAUUGAACCACACCAGUGAAUAAAAAGCAGCCCGCCCCGCCUGCCUUCUAAGUGGACUCUGCCUUCUGAGGUGUUUCGUUUAUCAUCAAAUCUUCUCAUGGUCAUUCAGAUUUGAAGACAUACACAGAGUGCUUGCUCAUCCUCACAUUAAGAAAAUAAGUAAGCGAUGGACAUAUAAGAAUUCUGGAAGUAUUAGAGUCUACAUAAUUCAUCCCUCCUUCAAGUCAUGAGAUCUUCAAUCAGGGUAAAUAUGAAAUUAAAGCCAACUCAUGGCCCUGGCCUGGAGCACCCUUACGUGAGGCCCAUGCAGCCAUCUGAGCCACUGGAUAUGUCCUACUUUUUGUCCAAAUCUCUGGGCCUCACAAAAAAGCCCUCUCACAGUUAUAGAACUUAUAAGAAAACGAAAUCAGAAUCUCUCUAUUUGACAUUUUUAACAAUUACUACAAGAAUCUGAAGUUUGUUGCUAUUCGGAAAGGUCCAGUAACCUUGGAGGGGCUAUAUUCUGUUGGUGGCAGGGUCAAGUAAAAUAGGAAGAUUGAUCUUAGUUAUUAAGAAGAUUAAUUUAUGCUACAAAUAAACUCCACAAUGGGGCUGA
rnacentral:lncRNA from 1 species